GCUUGGGUUCCGCCCACCCACACAAUAAGCAUGGGUUGAAUUCUCUGCUCUAGAAAGAGAGUGGGGCGAUUACAAUAUGAGGUGGAGCCAAGCAAAUGGGCACAGAGGGCCCCUGACCCAGCCUGGGGGCUGAAGUCAGUAAAAGUCCCUGGAGGAGUUGAAGCCAGGGUGAGCCUCAGAGAAGGCAGGUCACAGAACCGAGGAGGGCACUGCAGAGGUGGAGCCUUUUCUAACACGCAGCCUCAUUACUUAUUUUAAUUACUGGUGCAUAUUAGUUGUACAGAUUAAUGGGUUUCAUUGUGGCAGUUCCAGACGUGCCUCAUACACAUCUUAAAGAAACGAUGGGACUCUUCCCGAUCAAGAAGGGGAGAAACACAAAUCAGAACAAGGUCAUUUCUUUUGUAAAACCCUCAUCCAAUCAAUAAACUUCAGAGAAGAUAUUCAAUGUCACUUGAAAUCAGGGGAUUGCGAGUGAAAACAGCAAUGAGAUACCACGUCACACAUUACCAGACGGGCAAAAUCAAAACGUCUGACAUUACCAAGCAUCAGCAAGAUUGGGAUGCAAGAGGAAGGUUCUCGCGGGGCUUGUGGGAGUGUAAAUUGGCACGACCACAGCUGCUUGGCAAUACUUAGUCGACUUGAAAACAUUCCAGCCUGAUACUCAGCAGCUCUAUAUCCUGAGAUGUUUCCUGGAGGAAUUCUCACACAUUUGUACCAAAAGCAUGUCAGUUAGUCGCUGCUGCGUAACAACCACCCCACGAUGCAGCAUCUUCAACAACCAUCACGGCUGCAGCUCCUACCUCUGCGGGCCAACUGGUUGGUGCAGCCUGGCCCUGCCUGCCUGAGGUCUGCCAGGAUUUUUCACAUAUCUCUGGUCAGUGAGAAGGCCAGCUGGCAAUGGAAUGAUCUAGGAGGGCCUCGUCUGUCAGUUCACUGGUGGUUGGCUAGCAUUACAGGGACAGCUGGGCCACAUGUCCCUUGCCCUCCAGCAUCAUGUCAUCAUUAACUCCCUUGACUGGGGUAUAGGAGAGGCCACCUUCUUAUCAGGACACCUGCCAUAUUGGAUUAGGGACUCAUCCUACUUCAAUACGACCUCAUCUUAACUAACUACAUCAACAGUGACCCUCUUUCCGAAUAAGGUCACAUCAUGAGGCACUGGGGGUUAGUAUCUUAGCGUAUUUUUUUCCUUAUUCAGUAGUAGGAGGCACAAUUCAACCAUAACAAUGGUAUCACACUGUUUUUUUGAUUGCUGGUAGAGUGGAGCAUUUUUCACGUAUUCCAUGAGCUGCUUUUUGGAGGAGGGUUUGUCUUUUCCUUAUUUAUAAGAAUUUUUUAUGGAAUAAAACUAUUUCCAUUCAAACCCCAGGGUUCUUUCCUCUUUCACUCAAUAUCAAACGUAACAAGAUCAGUCCAGACAUUGAAGGGUUUGUAAAUUGUCAGAACAUUGUUUGUCCUGGGGGUCACCCUCUGCCCACUGGUACAGUGAGUGAAUUCUCUCCUUAUAGCCCCGGGUGGAGGACAAUGUGAUUUUUGUAGCUUCUGUAGCAGCCAAAAUAGGCUAUAUAAAGGUACAUCAAAAAAGUGACCCCAGAAAUCUUAGUGGGUCACAAAGUUUUAUUUCUUACAAAUACCACGCGCAUUACCAGAUGUGGCCCCUUCGUCUUGAGUCAGAACCGUAAACCAAAAUAAACUUACCCAGCCUGUGGUGUUGUGUUGAUGGCCACAGACUAAGAAGCCAGGCAGAGUACUACAUGGUCAUACUUCCAGGGAUUCAGGCGGCUGUGAAAGAAGGAUCAUAAAUUAGAGACCGGCUGGACAUCUUAGCAGCCCCUAUCUCAAAAUAAAAAGGGCUGGGAAUGCAGUUCAGUGGUAGAGAGCUUGCCUGGCAUGCACAAGGCCCUGGGUUCCAUCCCUAAUACUGAAAAAAGAAAAAAGAAGAAGGACAAUGAAUGGACACAGUCACCCGGGGUAGCUGUUCCCAUGCACCUGUAUCAGCAGCCCUGAAUCAGUGUCAAUUCCUCCCAGAUCCUGACCUUCACUGGAAAGCCCAUCUGAGUUUCCCACAUUGGUGAGAAUUCUCUCUUUCUCCCUUUUCCUGCCUGGUCUUAGGAUCUAGGGAGAAGUUGGGAGGACCACCUGAGAGUCACCACCAGUUGCUAUCUUCUUGCAGUUUCUUGCCUCGAAGUCCCUGGUGCUAACUUGCCUGACUCCCGAUUGCAAAUCCAUGGAUGUCUGCAGCAAUCGACUCUUCAAAGCCAAUUAUUUUUUAAAGUGCUUUUAAUUGCCAUGUGCUGUGGGUGCACCCCUUCAGCCCCAAGCAGCAGCAACCUUGGGCAGCUGAACAGCCAGGCAGUGGACGCCAGGCAUUAGGGUCCCAGGGCGCACUUCUCCCUGCCUCGGGGCUGUGCCCACAGAGUGAUCUGCAGACAGAGGGCCCAGAACCAUGUGUUCCUUCCAAUCUGUAAGUUCUUGGUGGGGGCAGGGAGGCAGAGACCACAUCUUAUUCUUUUUUAUACACAUGGAAGUUUCCAGAACACAGCAGUUAUCCAGUCACCUUCAGUGGGUUUACCGUAACUUUAUGGACGGGUACGUGGUUUCCUACUGAAAGGCUUCCAGGAGAAACCCAUGGAGAUAAAAAGGAAACAGACGGGAAAAGAGAGGGAAAAGCAGUAAGCAAGGUUGGGGCUAGGGGACAAGGGACGUGCCCACAGUGUCGAUGUAAGGGACCAGGGGGCGAACCUUAUUAAAUAUGCCCCGGGGGGCUCACCCCCACAUCCCAACACCAGCCCUCUGGAAAGGAUGUGGAGUCAGACACAGCCCUGCAGAGCAGCUCCAGCCUGGUCCUGGGGGCCCGGAGUGUAAGUUACAUCUAGCGCUUUCCUGAGUUGAAGUUGGGGGGUCUGUGUUCCUCAGACGGGGCGGAUGUGAACAGUCCUCUCGAAAAGAACCCCAGGUGCUGGCUGUUGGAAGGAAAGCACCCUGAAGAAGAGGGUUGUGGGGGACAGAACCAGUAAGAAGAGAUCUGGACGGAACAUUCAUGAUGUGCCCCGCAGAUGUUUGUUGAGUGAAUGAGUGAACUGAAGGCAGGAAGAAAUGUACAAAGUCAAUUAAUGAAGGAACGAAUGAAGGAAUGCAGGGCACAGCUGAGAAGGCUCACCCUUCAGCCAGCCCCAGCCCACCUGGCUCAGCCAGUGGCCCGCACAGAGCUGAUGCUAAUUAAAUGCAAGGUGUCGGGAUGGGGAUGUAGCUAUCCUUGUAGCAAAGUCCCGCUCUAGAAAAAUCUCAUAACAGACGGAUGCCCAGAAUGCCACCAACAGGAUCCAAACAUGGUAGACACCGCAGGAAAGAGAGCAGAGCAGAGUGUUUUUCUGCUCCCGGGGAGAAGUUCCUCAGAGAGAGGAAGGAUGGAAGAUUGAAGUCACUGAACAGUUAGCACCUUGGCCAGGGGCUCUGGUUCUCCCUUCAACCACCCGUUAGCUGGAGCUUCGGAAAGCAGCCCUGCAUCCUACGGCACCAUUUACAUCCGACACGUCUCCCUACUGACUCUCAUUAUGCUUCCAAAUAUUUAUUCAUUUGAUGGUUCAGAAUUAUCUAUUAAUCCAUUCAACACUUACCGAGCAUCUACUUUGGGACAAACUUUGUGCUGAACGCUGAUUCUGUUCCCGAGCUGUUUGAUAGAUCACCUGUACCUAAGUGACUUACAGUGCCCAGCACAGAAAAAUCUCCAAAGAAAUGCUUGUUGGGUGGACAAAUGGAUAAACAGAUCCACAGAGGGAUUAAUGGUUGGGUAGCUGGGUAGAUAAAAGGAUGGAUGGGCCAGAGGGUGAGCGGAAGGAGGGAGUGCUGGAAUUUGUUGGUCAUGUUUCUUUGGUAUCCUUUGCCUCAUGUUGUGCAAAUAAAAUCCCAUUUUCCUAAGGGA